UAAAUUGAAGCCAAAUUAGAGGCAACUAACUGUUAAUUAGAAAAUUGUUAUUUAAACCAAUUUAA
rnacentral:tRNA from 1 species